AAAAAAAUGAGCUCUCUGAGAGCCAACUCUAAAAUAUCAAAAUACUACAAGCCCAUAGGGUUGACAAAAGCAUAGCAUGAACAUAACAUGACCAGUUAAUAACAAACGAAACAUAUAUAACAUCCUAGAUGUGUGUGUGUUAAACCCAAAAUAAAUCUGGCCACACGGCCAAUUCGAGCUCAAAUAGAACACUGACCAUUUGAAGCUUUGAGCUUCAGCCCAAACAUAUGAAGGGGUAAAUGUCUCUAGGAGAGUUCCCAUUUGAAGUAUGCAGCUACUGGUAGCCUUGGAGUCAAGUACGUUUUAUUGUAUAUUUCAUUUGGAAAGUGACCUGAAAGUUGGCAAUAGAUGGGUUAAGUACACUGUGGUCCUUAACGCCUUUCACUCUAUCCACAGAACUAAAGUAAGGACUUCACCUUUGAAUUAAAUUAAGAGCUCCACCAUAGAACUAAAUUAAGGGUUCCAGCCUAGAAUUGAAGCAAGGGCUUUCCCCCACAGAACUAAAGUAAAGGGCUCC